GUACUGCAGCACUGAAUCCAGUUUGUCCGCGCAGAUCUUUAGCACCCUGGAGCUGACACCAUCAGGACCCGCUGCCUUCCCUGCAUGGAGUCUCCUCAACUCCCUUCUGACCUGGUCAGCUGUGAUGGGUAGGCCGAGGAGGGCAGGGGAAGAUGGAGUAGGAGUAGGAGGGAUCUCAUGAUGUGGUGACUGAGGACAUGAAGAGGGUGUCUGGGGUGAAGGCCUGUAAGGUGAUUGGUCAGUGGGCCCUGUAUCGGAUCUGUUAAAGAAAAGAUUCAGCUCAUUUGCCCUCUCCAGGCCUCCCUCCCUCCAGGCCUCUAUUUGAUUGCUGAUGAGUAAUGUAGUAGUGUAGUAUAGAUCUGUCAUGGUCAUAAACUACUUUAAGAGGAUAAGUGCACAGUGCCUGCGAGGCAUGAAUAGACCAAAACUACUGGUCUGUACCUGUGCUGGCACUGGCACUGUUAGAGAAAAAGGUGUCAGUUUAUGGGCCCCACCUAGUCUGGAUUUGUACAGGUCACCCAGAUAUGGUUAUCCUAAAUCAUUUUUCACAAGGAUUGGUCUUUUGAUAAACAUAUCUGUUAGCAAAAUGUUUUUUUUUAUUUGAAAGCAAGGAUAGUUAACAUGUAACUGCAAUAUUUGCUCUUUUUCAACUUGAUUUCCUAUACAGAAUUAUUAGCUGUUGAAACAAUGGCAUUUGUCCACUUUCUCUACAGAAAGGAAAGACAGAAUGCUUCUAUUUGAGUAUAUAUCAACAAAUAAAAAAUUUCAGAGGUCAGUUCCUUGAAGUUCAAACCAUUUAACCACCGGUCUGCUUUUAAUAUAUUUGCUGAAGACUGUUUAUAGCUACUUGCGUUUUGAUUUUUUACUUGCUUUCAUUUUAAAUUUUGUUGUGAAGAUAGAAUUAAUAGGAUAUUGAAAUCCCUAUUUAUUCUGUAGUAAAUAAUCACCCUAAUAUUUGUUUUCAAAUAUGUAAGAACCUAUUCCAUUUCCUUAUACUCAAAUGAAUACUUUUUGUGUUGCAAUCACAGACACCUUCCAUUAUUUCCAAGUUUAGUGUUAAACAAGCAAAAUGUUUGCAGUGAUUGUUCUGCUGUAUCCAUCUUCCUGGGGCUCAUUUUCAUAUCUCCUUUUUUAUCACUCUAAAAAAAUUGAGCUGUUAGUAGCAGAAGAUGAAAUGACUCACAAAGGUUAAGGUAUUGUUCAAUGUAGACACUUGGAGGAUAAAAUUGAUGGCCAGCUACCAGCAUGCAUUUCACAGUUAUUUACAAAUGUGUUGGCAUGUGGAAGAAUUGUACUUGUUUGAUAGCUGCCUUCUCAGACAAGUGCAGAUACUAAACACAAGGGACUAUGGAUAAGCCAUACAGCAGUGGGUUUUGUAAAUAAGCUUCUCCUUUGAGCAACAAAAAAAGACAUUUUGUAAAUGGUAAAUGAGAAAUUGCCUAUCCAACCCAUCUUGCACAGUAGCCUAUAUAUCCAAUACCUUAUUAUGACUUUUUCCAUGUGUCAACGGGUACUUUUUUGUUUCCUGUGAACCUUUCUGUCUACCUGUAGGCACAGUGAGGCCAAUUGCUUUGCUGAAAAUGGAAUGAUGUUGAGGCAACCCUUUAAUAAUAAUAAUUGAAAUCAGUAACUGAUAUAUGCAAUGUUUUGUAAAGUUUCUUCCUGUAUUGCAUGAAAAAAGGUUAUUGCAUUUUAAAACUCUGCUGUCUGAGCAUAUAAAUGCAGUCCUAAUUCUUUGAGUCCAACUUGUGAUAUUUGUUAAAUGUCAUCAUUUUGUAUUACUUUAUAACACAUUGGCUGCCGCUGCCUUAUGGGGCCAACGGAUGAAAACCAAGUCCUGCUUGCGACAGAUAAAACGAGUUGCAUUUCACUGAUCACGUUUAGGUCAUUUCAUGUCACGUACAGGUCAGCAGAGUUCAUGUCCAUAAUUCAGUACUAUUAGUUCCUGUUUCACACUUUAUCUGGACUCUGCUCGUUAUGUUACACAGUAAGCAUAAGGAUAGAGUAUAAAAAAACAUGAGAGCGAUGAGUGAUGAGUGAAAACGGCAAAAUCCCAGUUAGUCGCACAGUUGUUUUAUUGAGCAGACAGGCUGUGUGGUAGUCCUUUUUUUGUAACAGAAAAAAAACUCUAUGAUGAAAGUCACAGACUGGUGGUGUAUGUGGCCAUGAGUGGACACAACACAGGUUGUACAUCUGUAUUGCUUGCUUUUCAGCAGUGUGCAGGAAUUAAUACCUGGAUAAGCAUGUGCCUGUUCACUGGUCUCUGAGCCCUAGAUUUCACGUCAUCCCAUUAUCCCAAUAAUACAAGACGUGGGGCAAAAUAGUAACUGAUGACAGCAAGUGAAACUGAAUGAAAAGUUAGUGAAUAAACACGGCAGGAUUUGCAGCUGCUGUUCUUAAUGACCCACUGGUAGGGCUGAGGGCUAUAAGCUGGCAGCAGCAGAACAGAUUACAUUGGCUCCCAAGAUUUGGAGUCUUUUCUUGGGAACUGAAAGUACAAUAGGUCAAAGUCCAAGGAAAACAAACCAAGUUGGGUAUUUUAAAAAUUCACUGAUGUGAAUCAGCUAAAGCAUUCAAGUCCUUAAAGCCGAGCAGCUAGUUUUUGAAUGUUAUUAUGAAAUCCAGAGGUAGUCGGUACAAGGGAGAUUAAAAAGGAGGGAAAAUCUUAUGUAUUAUGGUUUGGGUUAAGAUUUGAGCAGUUGUACGUGCUGCAACUUGUUGAGAAUGUUUGGAUACUCUAGUAAGUUAUUCAUUAAAAACAUCAAACAUAAAAAGACAAAAGCAUGCAUUACCUGUCUGCAUUAGGCUGGAAGAGAUGUGAACAGAUAAGAGCAAUGUUAUGAAGAUUAAAAAAAGGCACAGCAACAACACUGCGAAAAUUAGCUUGAGUUGCAAAGUCUUGAUCCAAGGUGACUCCAGGAUUCCUGACUUGAGUACUUGCACUGAUUUCAGGACUUGCUAAAGUUGUCACGGUUGUGAAGUUCAUCAGGACACCCAGUUAGAAAGAGUUCUGUUUUUCAGGUCAGAUGAAAAAAAUAAUUGAUUGCAUUCUUUUUUACCAUGAUCUGAGCAGUUAACAAAGAUAGCAGAUGUUUUGUGAAUAACAGGAGGUUUUGUGCAAAUUUACAUUUGUGUGUCAGGUUAGAAAGUUAGACAUCAGGUUAGACUUCAUUUGGUUAGAAGUGAUGACUGAUGCCAUACCUACAAAGAAAUCUGAUCCAGUGGGUCAAUAUUUAAAUCCAUGGCAUAUGUGACCCAUUUUGCAGGGGAGGAACAAUGUUGAAUUUGAGCAGAUUGUUUGUUUGAGUAAAUGAUAUAAUGAAAAAAAAAUUAAACCAUGGCAAAUCUGGUCCAUAAAAACCAAUAAGUCAUUCAGCAAAGAUGUAGUAUGAUCAACAGUAUUUAGGGCAGCAGUGAGGUCCAGCAGGACAAGAACUGAUAAAAAAUGCUGGAGUCUACAGUCAUCAGCACAUCAUCGGUAACCUUGUCAAGAGCUGCCUGUAUCAGCCUCAGAUUAAAAUUGCUCAAAUAAUGUAACUGCAGAUCGGUGAGCUUGUAACGAAACAAAAACAGCCCUUAACAGACUCAGAUUCAUCCAUUGACACUUCAAACGUACUGUUCUUCACUGUACAGUAUAUAAGAAAAGAUGAAUUGUGGGAAAAAGGAGUUUUAGGAUUACAUUCUUGAGUUAGCUGGCCAGUGCAUUACGUUAGAAUUGCUAGUUUUACUUGAAAGAAAUGUAAACAGAUAAGCCAGUGUGCAUCCAUUUGUGGUAAAGUUAACAUCUAUGAAGCUUUUGUACCAAUGUGAAUGAUUUGUAAAUGGGACUUUAUUUUCUGUUGUCUAACAAUCUAAAAUUUUAAAGGGAUACCUUUGUGAAGCAUUAUUGAAUCCUUAGGACUUGUCAGUUGAGGGUCACUGGAAGAAGAAUUUUCGCGGAUUAAUAGAACUUAAUCUUGCAAAAUGUAAUAAUACACUUGUGUGUAAAUAUAGGAAUCUCCAGAGAAAAAGAAAUGUUUACUUGAUCCAAAAUGGGCAAUACAAGGACAUUCAGGUGACUAACAGGCAAACAAGAGGUGAUAACAAGAUGUACUGUGUCUCUUGUCAUUGGUGGGCACAUUCAUAUGCCUUAUAAAACAAAAUUAAUUGAGGAGACCAUAAAAACCUGUACUUUUGCUGAAGAAGAACAAUGAAUGAGAGUCAACAUACAUGCAGUGUCAAAAUGUUAUGUUAUAAAAACAGGCACCGAGGAUGGCAACUGAAAAAAAUAGAACUGCUUUGGUGGCCUGUUUAUAAGCAAUAUUUUAGAGACAGGUUAGAAAUUAGCUUCAUUUGAUUUCAAUAUCACUUAAAAACAAGAUGUAUACUCAGAGGAGUGCUAGAUUAGUGUACAACUAACAGCCUGCUCCUUUAUCUCAUGUGUGGGAAGACUGUAAAAAAGGUCCUCACUGGCAGGAAACUGAUUUAGCGUAAGGAGUAAGAUGGUAUGGAGCCUUCAAGCCAAGUAAAAAAUGGUGAGGUAAUUUGAGACAGUCCUGAUCAAAAUAACAGUCUUAACAUGCCUAUUGAUAUAUUUUCAGAAAAAAAUAUUUACAGUUUUGUGUUUUAAUUAAGAUUUGUGCUUUUAAAUUAGGUUUUGCCAACAGUUUUAAACAGAGUGUUUAAUCCCAUUCUGACAAGAACUUCAGUCCAUGGUAGCUUCCAUGCUGAAAAGUAGAAGGACAAAAUACAUGACAUUUCCAAGUAAGGAAAUACCAAAAAAUUGUUUCUUCCUUCUACUAGUAUUUGGACUAGGUUAUUCCACAAAGAAUGGAAUUAAUCUCUACUUGUUCCUUUGCAGUCCACAGGCAGUUGUCCUGUAGCUUCCCUCUUGAGUCAAUCCUUUUAGGCAUCCAUUUCUUCUACCAAACUAGCUCUCAAAUCGGAACACAAUCAUGCUUUUUUGCAGUUUUUUUUCUUUUUUUGUUCUGGAAUAGUGCCACAAUCGUAUUUGGUCAAUUUUCCGAAUGUGUAUUUUGUCAAGGUAACGCUAUAUCGCUUUCAAAGGUCUUAGUGUUUAAAUUGUUCUCUUUCAGAAAAGCCAAGUGAGUCACGUUUACAUCUACUGCUGCUUCCACCUUUUCCUGGGCUGCCCUCUCACCAGUGAGGCUUGGCUAUCCCUCUUCUUUUUAAGUUGUGUGUAUGCCAACAUGCCCACUACUGAAGCCUUAGAUCAAGCUUUAAGGGAAAUGCAGACAUGUCUGGAGAGCAAUCUAAGCUUGUUGAAAAGCCCACCCAGCUGUUGAUGCCUUCUCCUCCUCCUGCAGUCCCACGGCUUCAGACUCCACUAGGUGCAGGCUUCUCGUCCACAGCCAUUACUGCCCAUAGGCCCACAUUGCAGCCCCCACUCCUUCAGGUGUCCAGGUCGUAACCCAGGCGUUGGCAACGACAGGUGCCAUUCCUUGUUCACUGGCUUCCUACCUAGAAUGGUGUCAGUCCCUUCUUCUGGAAUGAGUGCUGGUUGCGUUUAUUACACUCCUGAAGAUUAUGAUACUGACUGCACAAAUACAUUGUUCGAGUGUUAUAUUUUGGAGAUGGAGGUUAUUAUAUUUGAACUUGAUCAAGACUACGAAUCUGUGCACUCCUUGCAGACUUUUUUGGAACAUGCAAAGAAAAAGAUCACAAAUGAUCUGAAGAAUUUGGGGACAGAAACAGACUCUUCGCAGGUACAUCACAUCUCCGGUACUCAAGAAAUAUCUACAGGGAUUUUUUUGCACUGUAAACGAUGUGAAGAAUAUGAAGAGAAGACAGCAGAAGCAUUUCUCUCCAAGUUUCAGACAUUUUUGCAACAUUUGCAUUCAAUAGGAUAUAAUAUGACUAGUUGAGAUUUUUUGAGUUGCUUAUAUUUAUUGAUAUAUCUGUGUGAGAAAUUAUUGUGUGUUGUUUUUGUACAUAGAAUUUGAAUACUCUUUAGAGCAAUUAGAAAAAUUCCCUCAGGGGACAAUAAAAUCCUAUCUAAAAUACUAGUAUAUCCAAAUGUUUCCUAUACAUUUUGCUACACAUUACUUAUGCUAAUAAACUGCUUGCAAAAUAGUUUGUAAUACUAUCGAAGCAAGAUUUGUAGAAAAAUUUGUAUAAAACAUUUCGUUUUAAAAGAAAUUCUGAAUUUGUUUUGUCUAAAAGUUGCAUGGCAUUAACUUUUGAAACUCCAACAACAUGUUUAGAACAAAGAAAAUGGUUUAAUGGUGAGAUUCUUUUUCAAACUGUCACUCUGUACAGUCAUACUGUCAGGGAGAGUUCUUUCCGGACCCUGUGCAGACGACACAAUCCAAGGUAGAGUGAGGAAACACUGGGAAAAGGGCAUGCAGGAUACAGGGAUGAAAACAGGGGGCGUCCAUGGAGUGCUGGUGAUCGGGGGAGGUGUGGCCGAGGCAAACGAUCCAGGGAUGAGUCAAACGGGAAAUCCAAAAACAGGGCAAAAGUCCAAGGCCAGGCGAUCCAUCCGGGACAGACGAUUAAAAUCCAGAACCGGGUCGGGACCCGCAGGGGGCACAGGAACGGGACCAAGAUCAGAAACUAAAACCAUAACAGAGCCAGGCGUUAACCCAGGUCCCGGGCUCUGCAUUGGUUCCAGCAUCAUGCGAGCCCGGGACCUGGAUGCGCCUGGCUCCGUUGAAAAGCUAAUCAACAGAUUUGUCUUCUCCCAAAUUGACUACAGUAUUGCACUACUGGGGUUUCUAAAUCCACAUUAAACAAACUCCAGUAUGUCUGAAUUUCACCAGCCAGAAUCCUGACGAGAUCUAGCGCAAGUGAUCACACUACUCCUAUCCUGAAAUACUUGCGAUAGCUUCCUGUCGACUUCAAAAUCCUCAUGCUCGCCUAUAAGGCUCUGCAUGGCUUAGCACCUCAGUACCUGUCUGAACUAUUAUCACCCUACUUCCCAUCUCGCAACCUUCACUCUUCUAAUUCUGGUCUCCUAACUGUCCCUGAAGCCCAUCUACACUAUGAGUGUUAUGCCCCCAAACUCUGGAACUAUCCCUAAGAAUAUCAGGGAUAGUUCCUUCUCUAAACCCCUCUGCCCCUACUGUAUUCAGUACCCCCAUCUACUGUCUCCUCUCAUUGUGUAUAUCUUGUGUAUUUUUUUAUAUUAGUAGUGUUGUCAUUCUGUAAAGCGCUUUAAGAAUCCACCUUUAAAGGUUCUAUCUAAAAGUAUAUAUACGUUUUAUAUUACUACUAAUGAUCUGUAAUUUGCCUAGAAGAAACAAUCGUCAACAAGAGUGAUAAACAUUAGAUCAGGGGUGAGUUUCCCAAAAACGAUGAAUCUUAGAGACUAACGAGCAACAUUAUGAUGCAUAUACGUUAAUUUUUUUUUGCGUUUCCCAAAGCCCCUCUUAAUCGGUCAUUUUACUAGCGAGAAUAAAGUACUUCUUUGUUAACCCUGCCCCUGAUGUCGCUUGGCAAAAAACAUCACAAGUCGAUUGAAAAACAAUCAAUUGACAAUACUUUCAUUAUAUGGUUUCGGUUUUUGGUCCUUCAGUGGGAUGAAAUAAGGUUGUGAAAAGGAAUAUGAAGUAAACAUGACAUCAUAAUUUAACAACCAAUUAAGCGAACGGGUAUAGAUUAGGCACAAAAUGGGACACUUCUUGUUUCUAAGAUAAAAUAAAAUAAAUGACUGACAUGCUGAAAAAGAAAAACAAAAUUGACUGUGUGGACAGUGUAUGUGUCCUGCACAAGGUCUUUGAUUUAAAACAAGAUUUUUUGGCACACUGCCAUUGUUAAGAAUCACAGUGUUUCAUGAGAAAAUACUGCUGCUAUUGGGUGUAUUGGAACUCCAUUUUAAUAGGUCUUAUUAACAUGACAUCUGGAUAAAUCAAUAACCAAGCUUGGCAUGUGUCGCUCAACAAAUAUAGGACCUACAGUACAGUAUAAUCAAAUUUUAAAACAAGAAGGUCUAAGCUUUACCAUCAACAAUCACGACAGAACAUAAAGCGGUAUUCAAUGAUUUAACAUAAUUCAUUACUGCAUUUCAUCAUGAAAAUCAUAUCAUCUAGUCAAGUAUAAAACUUGGCAUGUAACGGAUUGGGGUAUUCUGGGCAUAUGCCCUCACCCCUUCCAUACAAAUACAAGUAGAGGAGAAAAUCUAGAUAAAAGAAAGAAAACAGAACAAACAAACGAAUUAACUGGCAGCGGUAAUGAGGUAAAUAUGUAACUAAGUUAUAUCUUUACAUAUAUUAAAUGUUUUCCUUGCUUUGGCAUUUUUCGUGUUCUUUAUGGAAUUUAAACUCCACCUCAAAAGUACUGAAAGAGGGAAUAUUAUUGGACCAUUUGAAAUUAACCCAGGAUGACUAAUAAAUUCAUUACUGUAUAAAUCAAUGUUCUUUUUCCAAAUGUCCUCUUACAUGGUACAACAAAAUAUCAAAAUCCUUAAUAUAAAAUCGUAGUAUUCUAAAUUUCCAGAGAAUUGUCAUGAUGUGAAUUGAAUGUUCUCUGUCUGGCGAUCUCUGUCGCUAAGGUUGGUGCAAGAGAUUGCCAGUUUAAGAAGCAGUGAUUAACAAGUGGGUCGGGGAGCAUGUAGAUUAUGAAGGAUUUAACGUGCUACUUUAGUUACGAUGUAUUUUGGGAAACACUCAUAAAUUAACGAUAGAUUUUAAGAUCGAGUUUACGAUGUUCUUAGCGCUACGAUGCUUUCAGGAAACUCAUCCCAGAUCUGUUAAAGUUUUAUUUCUAUUAAAUAAAAUCAAAACAUUGCAAGAGGAGAUAAUGGGUAGAACAUGUUCCACAAAGGGUAAAAAAAGCUCACACUCAAACACUGCAACACAGACCAAAUGCAGUGGUACACAAAUGAAGAACAAUUGUGUGACAGGAAAUUUCAUUUUUUAAAAAUCAUGAAAAAUUAUAAACUAUAUCUGUACAACACACAAAAUGAAUUUAAAAUGUAUAAAUGCAAAAAAGUAAUGUACAACAAUUUGUGUGAUGAAACAGAAGUAAAAAUGUAUGGCUAUGUGUAACAGGCAUUUCGGUUUUAAUUCAAAGUGAUAAAAAACAUCAAACUGAGGACUGUCUAAAACACAUACAGGUGAUUCCAAAUGUUGUUAUGCUUGAUAAAACUAAUGAAAGAUGGUACAGUGGACCUGUGCAGUCAAUAAGCUGGAGGGGAAAAAGCCUGAAAGCAGUUAGAGUAAGAGCACUGAAAUAUGUCAAACCGGUCUGGCAGAUUUAUUCUGAAAAAGAACCAUGUUGCGUUGAUUAGGUUGUGACUGAGUUCUUUGAAAAGGGAGCAUUGAAAGAAUGCUUAGCAAGCCUGUAGCGUAGUGGGAAAAGUUAUAUUGUGGGAACCCAGAGACAGUCACUUGUAAGCCCAAUCUGAAAUUCCCAUCCAGAAAAGGGAGAUGUCUUGAUGAAGAACUACAAGAUCACAGUCAAACAAGACUGCAGAUCAAGCAACAACAUGCAGGAACCAUAAAUACUGUAAUUUUCCUUUGUAAAUGUAAAUGUAUGUAAAUAUAAAAGAACUGUAAUAAACAUGUAUUCUAUAUUUUGUACAACUUAUUUAAUACUGUUGAGCUUUGAAGUGUUCUGUUGUAAUUGUUGUUGAAACUUUGCCAAUACUUGUAUAACUUUGUCAUGCUAAUAAAGGGCUCUGAAAUUCAAAGUAAAA